CUGCCCAUGUCAGGGGGUUGGAAUGGGCCCUUUGCAACUCAAACCAUUCUGUGACUCCAUGAUUCCAUGAUUCUAUGAUUCUGUGUUGAGGACACUUGCAGAGAUGUGAAACAAGGGAGGCUCAGCCAUCUCCAAGUCUUUCCUCUUCCUUUUUGUCAUUCCUGAUGCAAAUGCUCUUCCUGGACAUUUCUGUACAGACUGGGAUCUCUGACAUUAUGGUAUAUGACAUGCAGCAGGCAAUAAUCUGUCAGUUCAUGAAGAAUAAUAUCAAGUGAGAGUUUCUCCAGCCAGCGAAGAAAUGAACAGUGUGUCAAUGUUCACGGAGAGUUUCAUCAGAGGUUUUUCCAAACUGAUGCACACAAAUCUCCCCAGAAGAGUUUGAGAUGCUCCAUCUAUCAGAAUGACAUUAAACCCUGGUGUUUUGAAACUCUGAA